rnacentral:rRNA from 1 species
UACGGAGGGUGCAAACGUUGCUCGGAAUCAUUGGGCGUAAAGCGCACGUAGGCGGUCCGGUAAGUCGGAUGUGAAAGCCCUCGGCUCAACCGAGGAAGUGCAUUUGAAACUGCCGGACUUGAGUAUGGGAGAGGGGAGUGGAAUUCCCGGUGUAGAGGUGAAAUUCGUAGAUAUUGGGAGGAACACCCGUGGCGAAGGCGACUUCCUGGACCAAUACUGACGCUGAGGCGCGAAAGCGUGGGGAGCAAACAGG